CUUUCCAAUAGUGGCAACCUUGAUAGAUUGCUGUUGUUUAUAAGCAGAAGGUUGCCCCAUUGUGUAUGAUUGUGUCAUUUUGCAGAGUCUACCUUUAAUGUAUAAUUAUUUCCUGUGUUCUUAUACCCACUACUUUGUUCUUCCCCCCUAGAUGUUCCAUGUCCGAGGAUACAAAGGCAUUUUUUGACAGUGAAAAGGAGUGCUGGAAGUCCCCUUGACAGUGCAAGUGGUUGAUCAGGUGCGGCCUGUUCCCGUCAUGGUUCAUGCAGUCAUAACCUGUGCUUUGACUGGACAGAGGUAGACUUUGGCCACUGCUCCAUCUACGAAUAAGUGAAGACCAACAUGCGCCUCACGAACCUUGUCCUCCUGCCCCAGGAAUUUGGCUUUCUGGGCAUACUGUACCUCAGAAACCUUGGGGGUGGAUAUGAUCUUUAGCUCCAAAAAGGCAUGAGGGUACAGCUUUCAGCUAAACUGCAAAUCUGGAAUUAACAGACUUCACCCUGUCGUGUCGUGCAGUUCCUGUGGAAGUCCACCAAGGUGUCCAUGAGCCCCAAAACAGACAGCCCUUCAGAGACCCUAAACCAGCCGAUAUACAGUCAGGGUCAGAGGAGUACGCUGCAGGCAGGGCCUACCUUCUGCACUCCUUCCCUGAGCUAAACUGUCGCUACGUCAUCCCUUGCUUCGUGUCCGCCAGGCCACAUCCUGCAGCCCCCUCAACACGCUGUACCUGGAGCUGCAUUUCCCAGUCAUCAGGCCCCCCCUAGUGGUCAAUCAACUACAUUCAAAUGUAUUAUUUAGACCAGAGCUUGGUUCAAAUACUAUUAUCUUUCACAUACUUUGAGUGUUUGCUUGAGCCUGCAUGGAGUGACAGAUGGACAGGGUUUGUGUUUUUGGGACUAUUCUAUUGGUUUAUUAAUAUUUUGAACCAGGAAAGAUCAAUCAAGGAAGGACAGGUAAUAAACUAUUUG